rnacentral:pre_miRNA from 1 species
AGGGGGAGCAUAGGAUCCUGGGCUAUGUUCCCCGGCGCCUUGGGAUCUGGGGCCUGUGCUGCUGGAAUCGCACUCCCAGGGCCGCAGCCCCCA